UUAAUUGAAGGCUGGAAUGAAGGGUUUGACGAGGUAGUAACUGUCUCACUAUAAAGGUUAUAGAAUUUUACUUUUAAGUUAAAAGGCUUAAAUGGAAGUGGAGGACGAGAAGACCCUAUAGAGUUUUAUAAAUAGAUAAUAUUAUUCUAUUUAGGAGCAUUUAGGUAAUAAAGGUUUAUUUAUUUUGUUGGGGUUACAGAAAGAUAUGAAAAAUUCUUUAUGUAUGGGACAUUGAUUAAUGGUUUAUUGAUCCAUUUUUAGUGAUUAUAAGAUAAAGUUACCUUAGGGAUAACAGCGUAAUUUUCUUUGAGAGUUCUUAUCGACAAGGAAGAUUGCGACCUCGAUGUUGGAUUAAGGAUAUAGUUAGAUGCAGUAGUUUAGUAUAUAGGUCUGUUCGACCUUUAAAUCCUUACAUGAUCUGAG
rnacentral:rRNA from 1 species